GACGAACGCUGGCGGCGUGCCUAACACAUGCAAGUCGAACGAAAAGAGGGAAAGAGCUUGCUCUUUCCGGAAUUGAGUGGCAAACGGGUGAGUAACACGUAAACAACCUGCCUUCAGGAUGGGGACAACAGACGGAAACGACUGCUAAUACCGAAUAAGUUCCAAGGGCCGCAUGGCCCAUGGAAGAAAAGGUGGCCUCUACCUGUAAGCUAUCGCCUGAAGAGGGGUUUGCGUCUGAUUAGCUGGUUGGAGGGGUAACGGCCCACCAAGGCGACGAUCAGUAGCCGGUCUGAGAGGAUGAACGGCCAAACUGGAAAUGGGACACGGGCCAGAACCCUACGGGAGGCAGCAGUGGGGAAUCUUCCGAAAUGGGCGAAAGCCUGACGGAGCAACGCCGCGUGAGUGAUGACGGCCUUCGGGUUGUAAAACUCUGUGAUCCGGGACGAAAAGGCAGAGUGCGAAGAACAAACUGCAUUGACGGUACCGGAAAAGCAAGCCACGGCUAACUACGUG
rnacentral:rRNA from 1 species